UACGGGGGGGAGCAAGCGUUUGUUCGGAUUUACUGGGCGUAAAGGGCGCGUAGGCGGUCGUGACAAGUCACUUGUGAAAUCUCCGGGCUUAACUCGGAACGGUCAAGUGAUACUGUCGUGCUAGAGUACAGAAGGGGCAACUGGAAUUCUCGGUGUAGCGGUGAAAUGCGUAGAUAUCGAGAGGAGCACCUGCGGGCGAAGGCGGGUUGCUGGGCUGAUACUGACGCUGAGGCGCGAAAGCGUGGGGAGCAAACAGG
rnacentral:rRNA from 1 species